rnacentral:rRNA from 1 species
GACGAACGCUGGCGGCGUGGAUUAGGCAUGCAAGUCGAACGGUAUCAUCCUUUCGGGGGUGAGAGAGUGGCGAACUGGUGAGUAACACGUAGGUUAUCUACCCUCAAGACGGGGACAACCCAGGGAAACUUGGGCUAAUACCGGAUGUGAGCAACUUUUAGUUGUUUGAAAGGUGGCGUAAGCUGUCGCUUGGGGAUGAGCCUGCGUCCUAUUAGUUAGUUGGUGAGGUAACGGCUCACCUAGGCAAUGAUAGGUAGGCGGCCUUAACGGGUGGUCGCCCACACUGGGAUUGAGAUACGGCCCAGACUCCUACGGGAGGCAGCAGUCGAGAAUAGUCUACAAUGGUCGGAAGACUGAUAGUGCGACGCCGCGUGAACGAUGAAUCCCUUCGGGGUGUAAAGUUCUUUUAUAUGUGAGCAGUGCUUCUUAUAUUAAACAGUAUGGGGAGAGAGAUAUUAGCAUAUGAAUAAGCAACGGCUAACUCCGUGCCAGCAGCCGCGGUAAACUCGU